AAACCAACAGGGAUUGCCUUAGUAGCGGCGAGUGAAGCGGCAAAAGCUCAAAUUUGAAAUCUGGCGCCUUCGGUGUCCGAGUUGUAAUUUGAAGAUUGUAACCUUGGGGUUGGCUCUUGUCUAUGUUUCUUGGAACAGGACGUCACAGAGGGUGAGAAUCCCGUGCGAUGAGAUGCCCAAUUCUAUGUAAGGUGCUUUCGAAGAGUCGAGUUGUUUGGGAAUGCAGCUCUAAGUGGGUGGUAAAUUCCAUCUAAAGCUAAAUAUUGGCGAGAGACCGAUAGCGAACAAGUACAGUGAUGGAAAGAUGAAAAGAACUUUGAAAAGAGAGUGAAAAAGUACGUGAAAUUGUUGAAAGGGAAGGGUUUGAGAUCAGACUCGAUAUUUUGUGAGCCUUGCCUUCGUGGCGGGGUGACCCGCAGCUUAUCGGGCCAGCAUCGGUUUGGGCGGUAGGAUAAUGGCGUAGGAAUGUGACUUUACUUCGGUGAAGUGUUAUAGCCUGCGUUGAUGCUGCCUGCCUGGACCGAGGACUGCGAUUUUAUCAAGGAUGCUGGCAUAAUGAUCCCAAACCGC
rnacentral:rRNA from 1 species